GCCAAACUCACCACCUUCAAUCCUCAGAGCUAAAAAAGAAAUAAAUACAAACUAUUAUUAAAAUACCGGUAGAAAAUUCAAAUAGAUAAAACCGUUAAAAGUCAUUUACACUCGACCACCAGCACCGCACAAUUCAGUGAACAAGCCGGUGCUGAUUGGCUCUCAAUAAGCCACAGGAUGGGCGGAACCAGCGGUAACUCCGAACAAAGCAGCAGCGAUCAUUGUGGAUAUACGGAAACUAUAGGAAAGGUUCUGAUCUGGUGGAGUGAAGAAACUGUGAAACAUGUUGCGGGAUAUAAAGUGGAAGAAAAGAUUUUACGUUUUUCAAAGAGAACUGGCACUGUAUGAGAAAUCUUUAGAUGUGAUGAUCGUAAGAUCCACAAGGUGGCGGUAAUGCAAUGACAUGAAUAAACGACAGUCAUAAAAUCCCGAAGAAGAAGAAGAAGACAAAGAAGAAGAAGACAAAGAAGACGGCACGUGGUUUGUUUGGUUGAGUGUUUCUCUAAAAAUAUCUUCAGUCCAGCUUGAACGAGUUUAUCAACGAGCCGUUAACUGCUGCUGAAGAAACAUUCACAGAGUUUAAAGAAAUCAUCGUCAAGUCGGAGGAAGAGAUGGAUGAUCAUCGCAGACUGCUGGAUUUCUCCCGGAGGCCCCAGAUAAUCUUACACCGAAUAGAUUGCCUGCAGUGUAACGUUUAUUACCAGGAGAGGAGAUCCACUCUGGACCAGGAGGAGUUAGAACCUCUGCAGGUGAAACAAGAACAGGAAGAGCCAGAA